UAUUGAAAUUGUUAAGACUUGUGUCAACAUUUUAAAGUUUAAAUGGUGUCUCUAGCUGAAAGAUUGGAAAAGCUGAAAAAGUUUUGAGAGGAUUUGAAAAUUUAAUCCAUUGGAAAUUAUGUUAAAAAGGUUGAUGAUUUUAAUUUAUAUUAAUUCAAUUAUAAGAGCUAAAAAGCUGAAAAGUCAUAGCACCCCUCUCCUGAAGGAGCUGAACAUUUUAAUAUUUGAAUGGUCUUACAGUUUUUCUCGAUUGCUUACACACAUUUUCCUAAAGCAUGCCUCAUACUCUCAGAACUCUACACACAAAUCAAAAAACACACAUAAUGGACAAAACCCCUCAAUACUCCUGCAAAAUUAAACUUUAAAUUCAAAACAGUGUAAUUUCUUCUCAAAAUGGUAUUUUGUUUUCAAAUGACACACACAAACCAUCAUAUGAACAGACUUUUAUAAGAACCAGUUGAACACUGAUGUGCUCAAUUUAAAACACUGAUGAAUGGAAAAAAAACUUCUCCAUUCAUCAUAAUGACUUUGACCUUUUUUUGUUCAGUGUUACACUUACUACAGACAGUACAUACAUAUGUGUUGUAAAAUAUUUUAGAAUAUUGUUUUUAUACUCAGAACACACAAAUACAUGAUAACAAAUAUAUUUUACAGUAUUUUUCCCACGAAAACAAUGUACACAGUGUACAUCCCAACCAACACAAAGUUGCACAUACAAUGGUCUACAUACAAAACAACAGAAGAAUUUACUGUAUACAGUUACAGUAAAAAUCUAUGCUGCAUCCUGUCUUCUGUUCCGGUCUGUUCCACAGAACCUCAUCCACAUCACAAGCAAUGUUUUCCCUGGCCAAGCAGCGGGGGAAAUAUCGCUCAGCAUGUCGAAUCCAGCCAUGAAAAGUAUCAACUGCUUUAUCUCCACAUGCGUCUUCCAUAGCUUAGAGAAGGGGGAUAUGCGUUUGUGGAUUUCAGUCACACACUUUCCAUCUCCAGGCAGAAAAGAAUUCCUCCAUAGCUUUGGUCAACCAAAGUGACUCGGAUCUCAUCAGAGUUUACGGUCCUUGGCCUUCCUCGUCCUUGUCCUCCUCCUCCUCCUCCUCUUACUCUCACUCCUCUGGCUCUGUUGUUGGCAUCCAUUGCUCCAAUACAGAAGAGCUCACCUGUUGCCCUUUUAUGCUAAAGCUCUGAUUCCUAAUUGUAACACUGUGUGACAGGUGUUUUCCCAUGUGACGAGUCAGUGUGCAUAGUAGGGCAAUUGACUUUAGAAUUUUGAAUGACAGUGUUUUUCUUGUGUAAACAACAUUUUUUUGUGCAGAGAAUGCAGAGAAUUGUGUGUAGUGUUUUGAAAAAAGUGUGUUUUAGAACUGCAAUUUGAGUUUAAAGCAAGAAUUGUGCCUGUAGUUUAGCAGAAUUGUUUCAGGGGGUUGGUGCAUGAGUUACAUGUUGUGGUCAUUGUGUGUCAAGUACCAGUAUUUGUGUGUAAACAAUUGAGAAAAACUGUAAAUGGAAUGUAAAGUGAUGGUCCUAAAGGAAUAAUGUAUGUGGCUCCAUCUGCUGGAAGAAUUUGUUUGUGUUUUCAAAUUGUUUUUCUAUUGAAUACGUUGAGUCAGUUUACAACAAUAAAACUAAAUCAGUAAAAUCCAGGAGUCCUGCAAUGAAUCAUACUUCAUGAAGGUUAGUAGUAAAGGUUAUAGUGUUUGAUUUCAGAAAGGUGCAUAUUCCGUUUCAUAUUUGAGGCUUUAGAUUGGGCUGGUGUUGAACUUUAUAGUAAUAUUUAUCAUGCCAUUAAUAUAUAUAUAUAUAUAUAUAAGUAUAUUGCAUUUUGAGAAGGGGCAGUUAGCCACAUUAAAUCUUUCAAAUAAUUGAAAACCCUAACUGUAUCAGUAUACCCAACAUGCGUAACGUUUAGUCUGUGCAUUAUUAAACAAAAUCAUGACUAAAUGUGUGGGAAAGUAGCAGAUUUAAAAACAAAAUGUUAAUUAAUAUGAAUAUUAAACCAAAAUCUAGGAGAAAUUAAGACAUUUGGAAAAAGAGAUGGGGAAAGUAUAAAUAGCAAUGCUUUUUUCAAAUUCUGUUUUUGUCAAUUCGUUCUCAAAACUUUGGGAAUGAUAUUGAGGUUAAAAUGGUUUCUGUUCUGCUAAAGUUAGAAAAUAUACAGUGUCUAAUACAGCUGUAGAUAAGAUAUUGCAGGAGUUUAACUAUUUGAUUAAUUUUCAAGUCUGUUUUGAUUACUCAAAAGAAUAUUCAGCCCAUUAUUAGCAUUAAGAGAUAAUGGAUGCCAGUUUGACCAGUGAGUAGUUGAAAAGCCGAACAGCACGAUCUGUGAAAGAAUCCUUGUUAGAAGCAAAUGGUGAUACAGAUGUUGAGAGGUUUACUAAAGGACCCACUUUAUUGUUGUGGAAUCAGUAGGAUACAUGCAACGAAAAGAAUAUUAAGUCAUUUAAAUGUUUCAAUUUUAAAGUCUUUGCUUUGAACUCUGCAUUCUGCAAAUGUGCUUCUUCACUUAUCUGAGAUCAAUUUCAGAUUGCAAAUCAUUUACACGCAUGUGUCUUUACCAGACCUCCAUUGAAAGUGACAAAUGUUUCCACUCUUCACAUAAAUGUUCUUAAAAAGUAGAUCUCAAAUUCUCUAAAACAAAAGUCUUCAACUACAUGCAAGCUUGGGCUGUGUGGAAUGAUUUUGAUCCAUGGCUUACUGGGUGCAUGGACAGAGUAAAUAAUGUAAAUGGUGAUACUGCAAGACAAGAUCAUCUUUAUUGUGAAGAAGUUCAGCCUGUGAGAUUAUGAAUAAAUUAUUGGCAUUGUAAAUCCUAUUUUUGUGUAGCCAGUGAGGAAAUGUCCCUCCUGAGCCACUAUAGGUUCAGGCCAGCCUUGGUACCUCCUACUUCCUGGUUCACCAAUUAGAGAGGGUAUAAAAGCUUCACGUAAUGAAGCUGUGUCAGCAUGCUUGUCCCUUUCGCUGUUGCACUCUGGCUUGAGAAUUCCAAGAGCAGCUCGUCAGGGCCCAGGUGCAGGAGGCUCAAAGUCCAGGCUGCGAUUGAGCGCUUGAUGAUCAACAGCGUGGCUACCCAGGUGGUGGUGAAGUAGAUGGCCCCAAAAAUGGAAACGGCAAUGCAAAAUGGAUUUUAAAAAAGCAAGGCGAACCCCUGACUGCGAUACACGGACCAAGAUUUUUGCUAUUCCCUUCUUUAAAAUUCAAUUCAAUUACUGAACUUCAGGAUUUGGGGAAUAUUAAGAUGCCAACCAGGUGUAACAUGUUUGACCUUCCUUUUGUGGAGUCACCCUGUUAGGAACCACCUGCGAUUGCUGAUUAUGGGUGGUCGACCUCAAAUGACGGAACCAUCCAGGUUAAAGGAAGCUUAUGGAUCUUGGGUAGCAGAUGGGCGAGGCUUGGGCUCUUCAUCCAGGGUGGUCAAGAGAACAUAACGGGCUCCCUGAAGUCAAGCUAAUUCUGCCUCCUGUGAGAAGUGUCGAAAUGACCUCUGCCCUCCAGCUGACUUGGGGUUUUGGUGAGGUUAGUAUCUUUUCCUCAGUACUGUUUUGUAACACUUGUUGGGCAGGCUGUUUGAUGGCUCUAAUAACAUGUGCCUCUAACUGACUCCUCAGUACUGCCUUUGUUAUGCUUUCAGGCAAAGUACUGUUGUGUUCUCUGGAUGGUCCUACAUCAACCUAAACGGCUCGUGCUUCAGGGCCUCCAAGAAGUGGUCCAGCAGCUUCAGCCUCCUGUGGACUGAGCCGUUUGAGCAAAAGUUAAGACUUUUUUUUUUUUCCCCCAGUCUUUUUGUCAUUAAAGUUGUGGCACAACUUUGAUUCUAUUGUGUGGCCCAAAGAACUAUUUUGGCUCUUUGCACUGUAACAUGAAAUAGUAAAUGGCAAAAAAUUGGUACACUAAAGUCAUUUCUGCUGAAUUUGUUGCCCAUACUGAAUGAAAAUUAGUAAAGAACUUUCUGCUGCGCAAAUUUAUGAAGCUAAUCAUUUCAAGAAACUUUUACGUGCAACGAUGAGGGAGGAGAAACUUCCCGAAGAUACUCCGCUGCACGUAUGCGCAUUUUACCGCCGCAGACGUGAUUUCCGUUGAGGCGGAUGCUAGAAGUGUGAAGAAAGCGCUGCUCAGUCCAGAAGGUAAGUUUCAGCUACCCUUGCACGAUAAAAUGUUAGUUGAUUUAGCAAACUUACUCUGCAAUUUGCCAGUCUUAACUGUUUGCGGUGAACUUGUUUUUAAAGUCUAGCUUGAAUGUUAACGGCUAGACUGUCACACAUGGAAUCCUCUAAAAUAACAUUAAAUAUAAAUUGCCUUUCAGCAAACUGCAUGCUUAAUAGCAGGUUCAAUGAUAUUUGUCAAUCUUCCAGCUAACGCUUGAAUUCGGUAUAAAUGGUUUUUAUUUUUGUCUAUGGUAGUGUAACGCAUGAUUUUGAAAGGACCAACCUCAUCAGGAAAUAUUCCCAGUUAUCAGUUUAGCAAUUUAGUAACCUUAAUAUGCGAUAUAAUGUUUCACUUGGUGCUAUUAAAACUUUACUCUUUAUCACUUAGUUAGGCCUGACUCAAGUUAGCCAGGACCAGCCCUUGGUUAAGCUGUUGUAGGCAGACUGCCUGGGGACUUCUUAGGACACACCAAGCCCAUCUUCCACCUUCCACAAUAAACCAAUGUUUAAAUGCACAUCACUAGUUCAGCUUCUUUCCAGGAGUUUUGUUUUCUCGCCUAGCAGGUCUCUAUAGAUCAUAAUUCUGUCUCUUCCUGACACCAGCUGCUGCCACCAUUAUUUUAAAUAAAAUUCAUAUUACUGUCAUCAUAUGCCAACAUUACCCUUUCCUAAAGUCUUUGCUCUUCCUCUCCACAGAAGCUUCUGUGGAUGGUGGUUUUGAUGGUGGUUGCCACUGGAGUGGUCCUGCUGUAGACAUGGCCUGCUACUUGCAAUUAUUUGUAUCAAUUCUGUUACAGGAUUUGAAUGUAUUGUACAUCCUUUACAAUGUUAAUUCUAUACACAUGACAUUCAUUGCAGGAUUUCUAUCCUGGGAGAGGGAUCUUUCCAGAUGGUCUCAUUAAGGUCUUUCCCCCCCAUUGAAGAAUUUAUUUGGAAGUUUUUCCUGUGUGAAUACAAGCCAGGGUGCAAGGUGAUGAUAUCUUGUCAAUGUUUCACAAAUUUUUCAGAAUGUUUUUUGUAAUGUCUUAUUACUUGCAGGAUGCCUUGGGCAGAAGUAGCCUUGUGAGAAAAUUGCCAUUGCACUGCAACCGAUGGGAAUUAGCUCACGGUAAGACAUGUUUCUUUUAGUGUAGUACAUGUUUCUUUUAGUGUAGUACAUGUAUUAACUUAAUGUCCAAGAAUAAAAGCAUUUGACUGUAAGAAGUUGCAAACUUGUUGAUUUUUUUUCUGUCUGUGUUGAGUAAUCUUGUCUUAUGAUUACUUGCAGGAUGACUUGGGCAGCAUUGGCCUUGUGAGAAAACUGCCACUGGGCUGCAACAGAUGUGGGAUUUCGGCUAAAGGUAAGACCAUGUUUUUAAGUGUCUUGUGGGAGGGGUUGUUUUUAAGUGUCUUGUGGGAGGGGUUGUUUUUAAGUGUCUUGUGGGAGGGGUUGUUUUUAAGUGUCUUGUGGGAGGGGUUGUUUUUAAGUGUCUUGUGGGAGGGGUUGUUUUUAAGUGUCUUGUGGGAGGGGUUGUUUUUAAGUGUCUUGUGGGAGGGGUUGUUUUUAAGUGUCUUGUGGGAGGGGUUAGGGUUAG